rnacentral:rRNA from 1 species
GAAUAUUGCGCAAUGGAGGAAACUCUGACGCAGCGACGCCGCGUGAGCGAUGAAGGCCUUCGGGUUGUAAAGCACUUUUGGCAGGGAAGAAAAGGCUCUGGCUAAUACCUGGAGCUGCUGACGGUACCUGCAGAAUAAGCACCGGCUAACUACGUGCCAGCAGCCGCGGUAAUACGUAGGGUGCAAGCGUUAAUCGGAAUUACUGGGCGUAAAGCGUGCGCAGGCGGUUCGGCAAGAAGGAUGUGAAAUCCCAGGGCUUAACCUUGGAACUGCAUUCUUAACUGCCGGGCUAGAGUAUGUCAGAGGGGGGUAGAAUUCCGCGUGUAGCAGUGAAAUGCGUAGAGAUGCGGAGGAAUACCGAUGGCGAAGGCAGCCCCCUGGGAUAAUACUGACGCUCAUGCACGAAAGCGUGGGGAGCAAAC